rnacentral:lncRNA from 1 species
GCUUGGAGUCAAGAGACCUAGGAUCAGGUUCGAGUUCUGCACCUAGCCCACAGAAGACUGCAGGCUGAGUGUGCCCUCUCAUUCUCUGGUUCCUCCUCAACAGACAAUGGCUCUUAGACAUUAUGACUAUGACCUCCCUGUGUGUAGUUAUCCUCUCCAACUUCUACCUUUCAAAGUUACCUUAAUUUCAAAUCUGUAGAUAAGCACAUAAAUGCAUAUACACAUAUGUUUGCUCCCAAAAUAGAUCUGAGAAUCUAGAAACAGAAAGGAGAAAACAACACUUUAAGGAGGAUAUGAUGAAGCAGAAACUAAUGAAAAUGAAAGUCUCUGGUUAUGUUGAACUUGAACAUUUGGGAAAACAGAAAGAGGAGAAAAGCAAGGCAGAGCCUGGAAAGUACAGAAGCAAAUUAUAAGAAGAAAAUAAAUAAAAUCUUCAACCUCACUUUUUUCCAACUUUUCCUUUAACAAGAAAAUUCUAGUACAGAAAUUUUUAUGGAUUUAUCUCUAAGUUGGACCCUGAGAUCUAGCUCUGGCCAAGAAAAUAUUCCCUGCUGAAGACAGAGGCCACAUUUUUUUAUAGCUGAGAGUGACUGGUUAAACACGGAAUGUGUUGAGGCUUCUAAGACUUAGGUCAUUCACUCAAUGUAUUUUCCAAAAGAAACUCCAGAAUGAGGACAUGGCUCUGCUCAGAGAAUAGCUGACAUUCAUUUCCUACAUGUUGCCGCUCUUUUUGAGUCUUCUGUCAUUAGAUAUAAAAGAACAUGACCAUUCCCUAUUAAGGUCUUGUGUAAAGAGUAAGUGUAGAAGACACAUGAAGGAACCCAAGAGAGCUGGAGGAGUCAGCAUUAUCGACGAGUCAAAUCCAUGCCUUCCUCUUUUCAGUUUGUGGAGGAGCACAGCAAAAUUAUCACAUUUCUCAUCAGCAUGAACUUGCUUUUUGUAUUCUACUAUCUUCUCUGCCAAUAUGUGCU